UGUUUCAUGAGUAUAGCUUAUAUUGUCGUUUGCUUUGUGUCAUGGCAUGUAUUGGAAUUGUAUGUCCAGAAUAUCAGUAUGAGAACCAUCAUCAUAAUAACACAACUGAAUACGACGCCAUAUUUGGCAAGAAGUUUUCUGAUGACAAGCACAUUUCUUCUCUUCAAACAUUUUUGACGGACCUGUUAAUGAGCAAUCAUACAAAGACAUGUUUUGACAAUGGCUGUAUCCGCAGCUCACAGCAGUUGGAAUAGCAGGUACCAUAAUCCUGCAACAAGAUGGAGUCCCUGCACAUUUUGCUAUCAG
rnacentral:lncRNA from 1 species